rnacentral:lncRNA from 1 species
GUUUCAAUUCCCGCCUGCUCCUCCUCAAUGGAAGCUCCGUAUAUGACACGUAUGAGCAUAAGAAUGGUGUCAAACCUGCCCAGGAUACCAGAAAUUUCUGUGAAUUUGGAUGAUGAGGAUUAACCAGAGUGUUUCUCUUCACCCCACAACACCUGCUCCUGAAAAGGAAGCAUUUGUUCCUUGCAUGCAAAUCAUUUUGUAUUAAAGAGGCAUCUAAUGAGCAUCGGAUGAAAGUCCCCUGGAGCAGGUUGCAUUUCCUUCUUCUUGAAGUACAACCACAGUAUUUCAUUCUCGGAAAGUAGGCCCUGGCACAUUCCAAAAAGAGUUCAGUCCCUCUCAGUCCCGCAACCUUGCCCUCUCCGAAGAGAGAGCAGGCAUGGUGACAGCCUUCCGCAAGAUCUCGCCUUCCCUCUCCUGCUCCUCUUCCUCCUCCUGCUGCUUCACUCCCUCCAGGAAGCCUUCCCUUCUGGGCCCGGACCUUUACUCUCUCCUUCCUCUGACUCCCCAGAGCACUUUAUGAAACCUCUAUUAUAACGCAGCAUUCCGUGUAUUCAGAGAAUUGGUGUCCUCGCUCCACUCCUGAGCCAGACACUGAGAUCAAGGAGGGAGGGACUGAGUCACUGUACCGUUACACCCCGUGGAGCCCAG